UGGGGAAUAUUGCACAAUGGGCGCAAGCCUGAUGCAGCGACGCCGCGUGAGGGAUGACGGCCUUCGGGUUGUAAACCUCUUUCAGUAGGGAAGAAGCGAAAGUGACGGUACCUGCAGAAGAAGCACCGGCUAACUACGUGCCAGCAGCCGCGGUAAUACGUAGGGUGCGAGCGUUAUCCGGAAUUAUUGGGCGUAAAGAGCUCGUAGGCGGUUUGUCGCGUCUGUCGUGAAAGUCCGGGGAUUAACCCCGGAUCUGCGGUGGGUACGGGCAGACUAGAGUGCAGUAGGGGAGACUGGAAUUCCUGGUGUAGCGGUGGAAUGCGCAGAUAUCAGGAGGAACACCGAUGGCGAAGGCAGGUCUCUGGGCUGUAACUGACGCUGAGGAGCGAAAGCAUGGGGAGCGAACA
rnacentral:rRNA from 1 species